CCUACGGGAGGCAGCAGUAAGGAAUAUUGGUCAAUGGACGAAAGUCUGAACCAGCCAUGCCGCGUGAAGGAUGAAGGCCCUCUGGGUUGUAAACUUCUUUUAUCUGGGACGAAAAAAGCUCAUUCUUGAGCACUUGACGGUACCAGAGGAAUAAGCACCGGCUAACUCCGUGCCAGCAGCCGCGGUAAUACGGAGGGUGCAAGCGUUAUCCGGAUUCACUGGGUUUAAAGGGUGCGUAGGUGGGUCUGUAAGUCAGUGGUGAAAUCUCCGGGCUUAACUCGGAAACUGCCAUUGAUACUAUAGGUCUUGAAUCAUCUGGAGGUAAGCGGAAUAUGUCAUGUAGCGGUGAAAUGCUUAGAUAUGACAUAGAACACCAAUUGCGAAGGCAGCUUACUACGGGUGUAUUGACACUGAGGCACGAAAGCGUGGGGAUCAAACAGGAUUAGAUACCCUGGUAGUCCACGCCCUAAACGAUGGAUACUCGACAUCAGCGAUACACUGUUGGUGUCUGAGCGAAAGCAUUAAGUAUCCCACCUGGGAAGUACGACCGCAAGGUUGAAACUCAAAUGAAUUGACGGNGUGAGACGNGCGAGGACGACGACGAGGGAGGAG
rnacentral:rRNA from 1 species